rnacentral:rRNA from 1 species
CCUACGGGAGGCAGCAGUGAGGAAUAUUGGUCAAUGGACGCAAGUCUGAACCAGCCAUGCCGCUUGCAGUCCUCCUUCCCUCUUCUUUUUCCCCUUCUUUUCUUCUCUUUUCCCCUCACCUACGCGUAUCUGUCUGAAAGUAUCGUACGAAUAAGGAUCGGCUAACUCCGUGCCAGCCGCCUCGGUAAUACUGAGGAUUCACGCGUUAUCCGGAUUUAUUGGGUUUAAAGGGUGCGUAGGCGGUCGGAUAAGUUAGAGGUGAAAUCCCGAGGCUCAACUUCGGAAUUGCCGCUGAUACUGUUCGGCUAGAGAGUAGUUGCGGUAGGCGGAAUGUAUGGUGUAGCGGUGAAAUGCUUAGAGAUCAUACAGAACACCGAUUGCGAAGGCAGCUUACCAAGCUACUUCUGACGUUGAGGCACGAAUGCGUGGGGAGCAAACAGGAGUAGAGAAAAGGGGAGUC